GACGAACGCUGGCGGCGUGCUUAACACAUGCAAGUCGAACGGAAAGGCCCUGCUUUUGUGGGGUGCUCGAGUGGCGAACGGGUGAGUAACACGUGAGUAACCUGCCCUUGACUUUGGGAUAACUUCAGGAAACUGGGGCUAAUACCGGAUAGGAGCUCCUGCUGCAUGGUGGGGGUUGGAAAGUUUCGGCGGUUGGGGGUGGACUCGCGGCUUAUCAGCUUGUUGGUGGGGUAGUGGCUUACCAAGGCUUUGACGGGUAGCCGGCCUGAGAGGGUGACCGGCCACAUUGGGACUGAGAUACGGCCCAGACUCCUACGGGAGGCAGCAGUGGGGAAUAUUGCACAGUGGGCGGAAGCCUGAUGCAGCAACGCCGCGUGCGGGAUGACGGCCUUCGGGUUGUAAACCGCUUUCGCCUGUGACGAAGCGUGAGUGACGGUAAUGGGUAAAGAAGCACCGGCUAACUACGUG
rnacentral:rRNA from 1 species